rnacentral:rRNA from 1 species
GACGAACGCUGGCGGCGUGCUCAACACAUGCAAGUCGAACGAUGAUGCCCAGCUUGCUGGGUGGAUUAGUGGCGAACGGGUGAGUAACACGUGAGUAACCUGCCCCUGACUCUGGGAUAAGCGUUGGAAACGACGUCUAAUACUGGAUAUGACUGCCGGCCGCAUGGUCUGGUGGUGGAAAGAUUUUUUGGUUGGGGAUGGACUCGCGGCCUAUCAGCUUGUUGGUGAGGCAAUGGCUCACCAAGGCGACGACGGGUAGCCGGCCUGAGAGGGUGACCGGCCACACUGGGACUGAGACACGGCCCAGACUCCUACGGGAGGCAGCAGUGGGGAAUAUUGCACAAUGGGCGAAAGCCUGAUGCAGCAACGCCGCGUGAGGGAUGACGGCCUUCGGGUUGUAAACCUCUUUUAGUAGGGAAGAAGCGAAAGUGACGGUACCUGCAGAAAAAGCACCGGCUAACUACGUGCCAGCAGCCGCCGUAACAC